rnacentral:rRNA from 1 species
UACGAAGGGAGCUAGCGUUGUUCGGAAUCACUGGGCGUAAAGCGCACGUAGGCGGAUGUGUCAGUCAGGGGUGAAAUCCCGGAGCUCAACUUCGGAACUGCCCUUGAUACAGCACGUCUUGAGUCCGGAAGAGGUGGGUGGAAUUCCUAGUGUAGAGGUGAAAUGCGUAGAGAUCAGGAGGAACACCCAUGGCGAAGGCAGCUCGCUGGGUCGGCCCUGACGCUGAGGCGCGAAAAGCGUGGGGAGCGAAC